rnacentral:rRNA from 1 species
UACAGAGGCCUCGAGCGUUAGGCGGAAUCACUGGGCUUAAAGCGUAGUGUAGGCGGACUUCUAAGUACCUUGUGAAAUCCCACGGCUCACCCGUGGAAACUGGCUCGGUAUACUGGUUGUCAUUGAGCCUUCUAGGGGCGAGUGGAACAAAUGGUGGAGCGGUGAAAUGCGUAGAUAGUCAUUUGGAACGCCAAUGGUGAAAACAACUCGCUGGGGAAGUGACUGACGCUGAGACACGAAAGCCAGGGGAGCGAACGGG